CCAUCGCACCCUUUUAGAUCCCUAACCUCCUCCACCUCCCUUAUCUACCCCGUCGAGGUCCAACCGUGGUCGCUGGCCAACGUACCUCCUCAUCCACCGUGACUCUCACUCCUCCGCCUCAUCUUCGCCGGGAGCUACCUAAUCUUUGCCACGGACCAACGUACCCCUUCCACCUCCCUCAUCAUCGCCGGGGCUCUCGUUCCCCCCUCCUCCUUCACCGUCUCCAUCGAUUUCACCACAUCCUCCUUCACCACCUCCACCAUCUCUUCCUUAGGUCGCCCCCUUCUUCUCUAUAAAUUAGUAUUAUCUACUCUCUACAAAACCCUAAACCUAAUUUAUUUGACCAUCUAACACAAAUUUCCCUAUUUAUAGCAAAUUAAUUGACUUCCCAAUGUUACCUUCUCUUCCUCAGACAUCCUCUUUCUCCAGCAGACUUAUUUAAGGGCUUGACGAAGAUGUCUAGAGUUCCAUCACGGAACAUAGCACGUAACUUAUACAGUGCGAAGACCUGCAUCCUCAGGCGAGAGAGUGUAGGAGAGAACUCGAAUCUGCUCAUGUUGCUACAUCCGUACCUAGCAUUAGGGAGUUUACUCCAGUCGUAGGGCUUGACGAAGAUGUCUAGAGUUCCAUCACGGAACAUAGCACGUAACUUAUACAGUGCGAAGACCUGCAUCCUCAGGCGAGAGAGUGUAGGAGAGAACUCGAAUCUGCUCAUGUUGCUACAUCUGUACCUAGCGUUAGGGAGUUUACUCCAGUCGUAGUGAAAUCACGGUUCUUUGUUCGCACUCGAGGCUCCAAUACUGCCCAUAAGCUGAAGCCCGAUGCUAAAAAGGGAGAGAAGGCAUGACUUCUGUACCUCAAUAAUAGGGGCCGCCCCCAUUGGUAAUUAUGCUGAGAAAUGGGUAAAGUAUGUGCGGGUGGAGAGCCGUGGGUAUCGCAAAUAUCCUCUCCAUUUAGAAUGGCACGACAAACAUAUUAGGUCAUUUGAUGAUUUCUUUAUAAGAUGUCAGAAGGAUUAUGGGUUUCUCCCCCUAGAUCCUAAUCAGCCUCUCUCCUAUCAUAUUCAUUAUCGAGGAAUGAAGUCUCAGUUGUAGGAGAGGCUCCGGUAUAAUAGGUGUCAGGUUAAACAUGAGUGUUAUGAGGUGUGGAAAAAUACUUCCGAAGCAGAGAGGGAGGCUCUCUUUGCUACGCCAGCAUUUUCUUAGAUUGAUAGAGACUCGUAGGCUAAAAUGUACUCUUUUUAUGAUUCAGAGGAUAAGGAGGAGGUAAGACGUAAUGCGCAGAAUCGGACGUCAAAUUUGCAUGGUAUAGCAACAUAUAUAGGUGGCUCGAGGAACACGU